rnacentral:SRP_RNA from 1 species
UACCAGCCGGGGAAGCAGCGGAGCCCUGUACCUGAAAUCCGCUACAGCAGGGGUGGAUUCCGAUUUUGAGGGUCGAUUCUUUACGAGUAGAGUCAUAUUCUGCUGUGUUGAGGGGCGGGUCUUGCGCAAUCGGGAACUGUGAACCAUGUCAGGUGGGGAACCAAGCAGCAUUAAGCAGUGAACCUGAUGUGCCGCGAGGCAGCCUGCCCGGAGCAGCGGGUAU